GCCUACGGGGGGCAGCAGUAGGGAAUUUUCGUCAAUGGGCGCAAGCCUGAACGAGCAAUGCCGCGUGAACGAGGAAGGUCUUCGGAUCGUAAAGUUCUGUUGAAGGGGAAAAAGAGCGGAGAGAGGAAAUGGUCUCCGAUUGAUAUUACCCUUCGAGGAAGUCACGGCUAACUACGUGCCAGCAGCCGCGGUAAUACGUAGGUGGCGAGCGUUAUCCGGAAUGAUUGGGCGUAAAGGGUGCGUAGGCGGCCUGCUAAGUCUGGAGUGAAGGGUACCGGCUCAAACGGUACAGGCUCUGGAAACUG
rnacentral:rRNA from 1 species